UUUUUGAAAGAAGGAUGAUGCGAAUAACAUGUUACUUUGAAUGAGGUGACAACCCAGCGUGUCUCGUUGAAAGACGGACAACCCAACUUGAACUUAACAUGUCAUUUGAAGGUAGAUGAUGACCCAAUCCUAAAUCUUUGAAAGGCGGACGACCCAACUUGAACUUAAUAUGUCAUUUGAAGGGAGAUGACAACCCAAUCUUGUCUCUUUGAAAGGCGGACGACCCAACUUGAACAUGCCAUUUGAAGGGAGAUGACAACCCAAUCCUGUCUUUUUGAAAGGCGGACCACCCAAUCUUGAACUUAAUAUAUCAUUUGAAGGGAGAUGACAACCCAAUCUUGUCUCUUUGAAAGGCGGACGACCCAACUUGAACUUAAUAUGUCAUUUGGAGAGAGAUGGCGACCCAAUCCUAUCUCUUUGAAAGGCGGACGACCCAAUCUUGAACUUAAUAUGUCAUUUGAAGGGAGAUGACAACCCAAUCUUGUCUCUUUGAAAGGCGGACUACCCAACUUGAACUUAAUAUGUCAUUUGGAGGGAGAUACAACCCAAUCUUGUCUCUUUGAAAGGCGGACGACCCAACUUGAACUUAACAUGUCAUUUGAAGGGAGAUGACGACCCAAUCCUGUUUCUUUGAAAGGCGGACGACCCAAUCGUGAACUUAAUAUGUCAUUUGAAGUGAGAUGACAAUCCAAUCUUGUCUCUUUGAAAGCGGACGACCCAAGUUGAACUUAACAUGUCAUUUGAAGGGAGAUGACAACCCAAUCUUGUCUCUUUGAAAGGCGGACGACCCAACUUGAACUUAACAUGUCAUUUGAAGGGAGAUGACGACCCAAUCUUGUCUCUUUGAAAGGCGGACGACCCAACUUGAACUUAACAUGUCAUUUGGAGGGAGAUGACAACCCAAUCUUGUCUCUUUGAAAGGCAGACGACCAAACUUGAAC
rnacentral:lncRNA from 1 species